rnacentral:rRNA from 1 species
CUACGCACUCCUACGGGAGGCAGCAGUGGGGAAUAUUGCACAAUGGGCGCAAGCCUGAUGCAGCCAUGCCGCGUGUAUGAAGAAGGCCUUCGGGUUGUAAAGUACUUUCAGCAGUGAGGAAGGUGGAUAUGUUAAUAGCAUAUUCAUUUGACGUUAGCUGCAGAAGAAGCACCGGCUAACUCCGUGCCAGCAGCCGCGGUAAUACGGAGGGUGCGAGCGUUAAUCGGAAUUACUGGGCGUAAAGCGCAUGCAGGUGGUUUGUUAAGUCAGAUGUGAAAGCCCGGGGCUCAACCUCGGAAUUGCAUUUGAAACUGGCAAACUAGAGUACUGUAGAGGGGGGUAGAAUUUCAGGUGUAGCGGUGAAAUGCGUAGAGAUCUGAAGGAAUACCGGUGGCGAAGGCGGCCCCCUGGACAGAUACUGACACUCAGAUGCGAAAGCGUGGGGAGCAAACAGGAUUAGAUACCCGGGUAG